UUUUUCCAAGAUGAUUGUAUCACACACUCAGGUAGCGUUUAAAGAAAUGCGUAAAUUUUAUUUUUCGAUGGCAAUGUUAUGAAUUGUAUGACAGUGCUCGUUAAUCAUGUAUUUUGUUGAAAGAUGCUCGUAUUUGCAAUACAUUUUCCCUUGUGCUGCUUUUAUAUCUGCUCUUGUUGAUCUCAAAUGAUUGCUGUAUUGGCGAUUAGAGGCUACUGUUAUAUUUUAAUAAUUUAUAAGCCGUCGUUUUUAUGAAACUGUAUUAUGACAAAUGUUUUGAUAAAUAUAUCGCUCUUCUUCUCAACUUAUUUUUGAUGUUUGCAUUAUGAAUCUCGUUUUUAUUUCAAGUAACUAAAUGCUUACAAUGAGUGGGCCUCUAUCUUUUACAUUACGCUCAUCUAUCUUCUCCAUUCAUGAUAUUUUACAACUGUCUAGUCUUCUCACUCGUGUAAAAUGAACAAAGACGUCCCUUCCCGAAAUUUCUAAACUCUGUAUUGUCAUAUUGCUUAUUAUCUGUGUCCAUGCUUGUUGUGUAUCUGUUAGCAGGAGAAAGCUAUGAUAUUAAUCAUAAUUAGCAAUGUUUUUAUAGUCUUUAUGGCUCUUUUAGAUUGUAGUAUCUGAUACAGAGAUUGACAAGAAACAGCAAGGAAAAGGGAAAUAUGCCAAAGUGGACUCUUUAUCGCUUUUGAAAACAGUCAAAACAUCUUUGGCAACGGCUCUAACACUGUUGGUGUUAGUUUUGACUGACGUUUCGUCAUCAUUAGCAGCAGUCACCUUCAAAGUCAAGAGUGGUCUCAGAGUCAAAGUUCUCGUAGAAAUGUUUGUCAACACGAACACCAACAAUCCUUUUCAAGACUGCACUGACCUAAACGCUCAAAAAAAUUCUUGUGAGAAAAAAAAAAUUGAACACAUAACAUCACAGGACAGCAAAGGACAAAUUAUCAUGAAAAACAAAAAUAUAAACAAAGAGAAAAUUGUGUAGCUAUCUACUUAUGAAAAAUAUCAAUAAACAUUUUUUAUAUUGUAAAAAGACACGAGUCAUGCACGGAAAAAGCUGUAAUCGCUAUGUAUAGCACUGUAAAUAUUCAAAUAAUGCAUUAAAGUGUUACGUUUCUCUGACA